CCUACGGGCGGCAGCAGUGGGGAAUAUUGCACAAUGGGGGAAACCCUGAUGCAGCGACGCCGCGUGAGUGAAGAAGUAAUUCGUUAUGUAACGCUCUAUCAGCAGGGACGAAAAUGACGGUACCUGAGUAAGAAGCCCCGGCUAACUACGUGCCAGCAGCCGCGGUAAUACGUCGGGGGCAAGCGGUAUCCGGAUUUACUGGGUGUAAAGGGAGCGUAGACGGCAGGGCAAGUCUGGAGUGAAAGGGGGGGGGUCAACCGCCGGAAUGCUCUAGAAACUGUACGGCUGGAGUGCAGGAGAGGUAAGUGGAAGUCCAGUUGGAGCGGUGAAAUGCGUAGAUAUUAGGAGGAACACCAGUGGCGAAGGCGGCUGACUGGACUGUAACUGACGUUGAGGCUCGAAAGCGUGGGGAGCAAACAGGAUUAGAUACCCUAGUAGUC
rnacentral:rRNA from 1 species